AGUCCAGAAAGUCAGGACCAGGAACACAUCUUCUGGUUUUUCUUUUUCUUUAGAAUUUCACCUAAACAAGAAAGCUGUUUUGUCAACCGUGCGCCACCUGUCCACAAGAACUGGGAACUGCAGCCACUAUCCUGCUUGAACCAAGCUUUUCCAUACAGGGAUCAGUGGUGUUUCCUGUAAUAAGCCAUGCUCUGGGUCCUCACCGCCUUCCUGGGGAUACAGUUUUUCCUGGCUGUCCAAACACAGUCAGUUACCCAGUCUGAUGCCCAAGUCACUGUCUUUGAAGGGGAGUCGUUGGAGCUGAAAUGCAACUACUCGUAUGGUGGAACCCCUUACCUCUUCUGGUACAUCCAGCACCGUGGCCACGGCCCCCAGCUUCUCCUCAGGUACUACUCAGGAGACUCAGUGGUUCACGGCAUGAACAGUUUUGAGGCUGAGUUUAGCAAGAAGGACUCUUCCUUCAACCUGAGGAAAGCCCCUGUGCACUGGAGCGACUCGGCUGUGUACUUCUGUGCUCUGAGCGCACAGUGUCUGCAGCUGCAGGGGGAGCUGAACACAAACCUGCAAGAACCUGUGAAGAUAGCAUGGCUGAGUGACUUUAAAUCAUCCACACUCCUGUAA